GAUGAAGAACGUAGCGAAAUGCGAUAAGUAAUGUGAAUUGCAGAAUUCAGUGAAUCAUCGAAUCUUUGAACGCACAUUGCGCCCAUUAGUAUUCUAGUGGGCAUGCCUGUUCGAGCGUCAUUCCAACCCUUAAGCCUAGCUUAGUAUUGGGAAUCGACUUUACUGUCGUUCCUCAAAUUCAACGGCGGAUUUAUAGCAAUCUCUGAACGUAGUAAUUUUUCUUCUCGUUUUUGAAAUACUAUAAACCUCAGCCGCUAAACCCCCAAUUUCUUAUGGUUGACCUCUGAUCAGGUAGGAAUACCCGCUGAACUUAAGCAUAUCAAUAAGCGGAGGA
rnacentral:misc_RNA from 1 species